UGGGGCGUCGCCAAGUGGUAAGGCACUGGAUUUUGGUUCCAGCAUUCGCAGGUUCGAAUCCUGCCGCCCCAGCCA
rnacentral:tRNA from 1 species